UACGGAGGGGGCUAGCGUUGUUCGGAAUUACUGGGCGUAAAGCGCGCGUAGGCGGCUUUGCAAGUUAGAGGUGAAAGCCCGAAGCUCAACUUCGGAAUUGCCUUUAAAACUGCGAGGCUAGAAUUGUGGAGAGGUAAGUGGAAUUCCGAGUGUAGAGGUGAAAUUCGUAGAUAUUCGGAAGAACACCAGUGGCGAAGGCGACUCGCUGGACAGGUAUUGACGCUGAGGUGCGAAAGCGUGGGGAGCAAACAGG
rnacentral:rRNA from 1 species